UGAGUGGGCCAGCAGGGUGGAGCAGAGGGGUUGCUCCAGAAGAGCCCUGGGAGCCACAGGAGGUGGCUUGGCUUAGCUGCUUGGCACAUGGGGUGGUGCACGGCAAGUCUCCAGUGGGGACCCGGAGCCUGGGAGCUGCAGGAGGCAGCUU